rnacentral:rRNA from 1 species
AUGGACGCAAGUCUGAUGGAGCAACGCCGCGUGAGUGAAGAAGGUUUUCGGAUCGUAAAGCUCUGUUGUUGGUGAAGAAGGAUAGAGGUAGUAACUGGCCUUUAUUUGACGGUAAUCAACCAGAAAGUCACGGCUAACUACGUGCCAGCAGCCGCGGUAAUACGUAGGUGGCAAGCGUUGUCCGGAUUUAUUGGGCGUAAAGCGAGCGCAGGCGGAAAAAUAAGUCUAAUGUGAAAGCCCUCGGCUUAACCGAGGAAUUGCAUCGGAAACUGUUUUUCUUGAGUGCAGAAGAGGAGAGUGGAACUCCAUGUGUAGCGGUGGAAUGCGUAGAUAUAUGGAAGAACACCAGUGGCGAAGGCGGCUCUCUGGUCUGCAACUGACGCUGAGGCUCGAAAGCAUGGGUAGCGAACAGGAUUAGAUACCCUGGUAGUCCAUGCCGUAAACGAUGAGUGCUAAGUGUUGGGAGGUUUCCGCCUCUCAGUGCUGCAGCUAACGCAUUAAGCACUCCGCCUGGGGAGUACGACCGCAAGGUUGAAACUCAAAGGAAUUGACAGGGGCCCGCACAAGCGGUGGAGCAUGUGGUUUAAUUCGAAGCAACGCGAAGAACCUUACCAGGUCUUGACAUCUAGCGCCAAUCGUAGAGAUACGAUG